CAGCGAGUUCGCGAGCGUGUGCGGUGCCCCGCGGCCGGGCUGCGGCGCGGCGCCUCGCCGCGAGUCCGCUGCUCCGGCACCGGUGGGCUCUGAGGCUCGGUCGGUGCUGGCGGCGGAGGGCAAUCCCACCUGCCGUUCCCGUCCCCGUCCCCGUCCCCUGGUAGCGGAGGAGUGGUCGUGGUGGUGGGCGGCUGAGCUGGCUCCGUGCGGGUGCCUCCUGGGUUCCGUUAGGCUCACGAGCAGCCCCGCAGCUCGCCUCAGAGCCCCCCACGCCCCGAUACAGAUGAAGGAUUUUCCCGAGAUCACUGUGAGCAGAGAUGUAUUGGAGAGUGGGAAAUUGUUCAAGUCCUACCAGAUCAUCCCAGAAUGCUAGCAGGUCUUUGUCAGUCCCGGGACAAGGAAGCAUGAGCUGAACAAGCUUAUAUUCCCCGGACAUAACAGGCACACAUGGGAUCUAAUGUCUUGGCAAUAGGCAGUCUGACGGUACAUGGAAGGCUUAGGAUAUCUGCAUCGCCUCUGAGGUUGGCUCUCUCAAUCAAGAAACAAGUCGACAGAACAAAUGGUGGCAUUUACUUAGCCAUAUUCCCAGCUACACUGUUUGUAGCCUAAUUAUAUUUUCAGUAAUAGAAGGAUACAUUUAAGCGCUCAUUUUAAUUACGGAUCUUCUAUAUCUGAGAUCAUGUCUUCCUCUUGAAAUAAAACUGGCAUUGGCAGGAAAUUUUAUCACUUAAGAUUAGUCGUGUUGGAUGGACCAUUUCACGGUGUGCUAUUAGACAGUUUUGAAAGCUAAAGCUAUAUUUAAAAAUGGAUUUUUUUCAACACAGAUGUGGAAUGAAGACUGGUGUUUCUACAACUUAAUAGUAUGACCAGUGAAAUGCAAGUGAACCAUAGUCCUAAUCAUGUUUGUAUCCCAUGCAGGAAUAAACAUACAUUUUUAAACACA